GCCGGAGUGGUGAAACUGGUAGACGCAGUGGACUCAAAAUCCACCGGACCUCGGUCUGUGUCGGUUCAAGUCCGACCUCCGGCACCA
rnacentral:tRNA from 1 species